CCCUUAGAUGUUCUGGGCCGCACGCGUGCUACACUGAGUGGAUCAGCGGGUCAGGUUGCGCGAAAGCGUUUCCUAAUCUUUAAAUCCGCUCGUGAUGGGGAUUGACGGUUGCAAUUUUCUGUCAUGAACGAGGAAUACCUUGUAAGCGCGGGUCAUCAUCCCGCGCUGAAUACGUCCCUGCCCUUUGUACACACCGCCCGUCGCUCCUACCGAUUGAGCGAUCCGGUGAAUGUUUUGGACUGGCGUCAGAAGCGGUUCGCUCCUGACACUACGAAAUUUUGUAAACCUUAUCGCUUAGAGGAAGGAAAAGUCGUAACA
rnacentral:rRNA from 1 species